UACAGAGGGUGCAAGCGUUGUUCGGAAUUAUUGGGCGUAAAGCGCGUGUAGGCGGCUUUGCAAGUCGGGGUGAUGAAACGCCCUCGGCUCAAACCGAGGAAGUGCGCCCGAAACUGCAGAGCUUGAGUACCGGAGAGGAUGGCGGAAUUCCCCAAGUAGAGGUGAAAUUCGUAGAUAUGGGGAGGAACACCGGUGGCGAAGGCGGCCACCUGGCCGGUAACUGACGCUGAGACGCGAAAGCAUGGGGAGCAAACAGG
rnacentral:rRNA from 1 species